rnacentral:rRNA from 1 species
AUUGAACGCUGGCGGCAGGCCUAACACAUGCAAGUCGAACGGUAACAGGAAGAAGCUUGCUUCUUUGCUGACGAGUGGCGGACGGGGGAGUAAUGUCUGGGAAACUGCCUGAUGGAGGGGGAUAACUACUGGAAACGGUAGCUAAUACCGCAUAACGUCGCAAGACCAAAGAGGGGGACCUUCGGGCCUCUUGCCAUCGGAUGUGCCCAGAUGGGAUUAGCUAGUAGGUGGGGUAACGGCUCACCUAGGCGACGAUCCCUAGCUGGUCUGAGAGGAUGACCAGCCACACUAGAACUGAGACACGGUCCAGACUCGUACGGGAGGCAGCAGAGGGGAAUACUGCACAGUGGGCGCAAGCCUGAUGCAGCCAUGCCGCGUGUAUGAAGAAGGCCUUCGGGUUGUAAAGUACUUUCAGCGGGGAGGAAGGGAGUAAAGUUAAUACCUUUGCUCAUUGACGUUACCCGCAGAAGAAGCACCGGCUAACUCCGUG